rnacentral:lncRNA from 1 species
UCAGGCUGCAGUGAGCCUAGGUUAUGUGACUGCUCUUCCAGCUUGGACGAUGCUGUCUCAUCUUUUUUUACAAAAAAAAAAAAAAAAUCUGCAAUCCUUUUUUCCUGUGCACAAACAGCUUCCAGAAAAUAGUUAAAAGAAACCAUCAAACCCUAAGGUAAUUUUUUUUAAGUACCUGUUGGCCCAAACAGAGGGCUUAAUUAGCGGCAACUCUUAGAAACCAGAUUGCGUUAAACACAUCUAGCUUUGUUUUUUUUUCUUGGCCCCCACAAAGGCUAUGCGCAUGCCCCAGGAAUAUACUUCUUCUUUGAUUGGGCACAAUAAGAUUGUUUUCUUCAAAUAUUUGAGAGUGGUAGGACCCCAGAAGAACUCUUACCAACUGAUGGGUCUCCAGGGCCCCCAACGGUCCCAGGACCAUAUUUUGAGAACUGCUGAGUAGAUCAUGGCAUUCAAGCCAAGUCUCAUCUGUCAACCAGGCUAGAGUACAG